AAAGGAUUAGUUAAAAUAUAACAUUAAGCUGUCAUAUUAAAGUUACUAAAAGUAUCCUUUA
rnacentral:tRNA from 1 species